GGUUGUAGCUCAGUGUUAGAGUGCUUGCCUAGCAUGUGUGAAGCCCUGGGUUCAAUCCUCAGCACUG
rnacentral:tRNA from 1 species